UUUCCCCCCAACUGUAAAGUGGAGCCUGCAAUGUGUGACACGUGGGCCAGCUGUGGGAAUGGAAUGAGGAGCUCAGGUAUCAUAUCUGAGAGUCUUAUCCAUUUUGUCAUGUGGGUCAAGAGGAAAAUAUUUCAGAAGCACUCAGAAGGGAAUUGCAAAAUCCGAAAUAUGAUUGCUUAACGAUGACUGAAGAAACUCAGGCCACAUUCUGUUGCUUUGGUGUGCUGCUGCCAGUCUAGCUUUGACAAUAGCUUGGCACACGUUUCACCAGCUUUCGACAGAAUUUUUAAUUUUCUGGAUAUCUCUUUGAAUCUGUUUCAAAUUCUCUCCUAUAUUGUUCACUUAAGGUUCCCAUCAUUUUUCUAUGC